AGGACCUGAGUUUGAUUCGUGAUACCAAAAAAACCCAAACCAAACAAAAAAAGUUAUUGGAGGAAAGAAGGUGCUGAUUCAGACCAAUCAGAAGAUGGUAAGCAGCAUUUUAAUGCAGUUUUAAAUUUUUUAGCCUAAAAAAUAACUAAUGGUGACGAGUAUGUAGCUCAGUGGUAAAGUGCUUACCUAGUGUUCAUGAAGCCCUGGGUUUCUUUUGCAUUCCCAUCCCUAAAAAUUUAAUAUUGAAAACUAAAGAUACAAAAGGCAUCUUUUAGUCUGUCAGAUAUUUGUUCGGUAGAUUUUCAGAAAUUGACCAGUUUCGUAAACCAAAGAGAAAUAGUGUAAAUAAUACAAGAGCAAGUAUGGGGAUUUGAAAAUGCUAUGUCCACUUUUAAAGUACAGCCCAGAUUAUUUAGUAGUAACUAGUAAAAGUUCACUCAAAUUCAGAUUUUCAAACUUAUUUAGCACUUUUUUAAAAAAGUUACUUGAAUGUUCAGUUUAGAUUUAAAAAUAAGGGCUCAGUUCAUGGAGCUAUAUAUGAGCUAUAUAUGAUAUUAGAAUGCUUUUAUCAUUGUUAUUUAUUUAUUUUUAUUUUGGUACUGGGGUUCAAACUCAGGACCUUGUGCUUGUGAGGCAGGCGUGGCGCCACUGAGCUAUAUCUCCGGCCCUUUUAUUAGUAUUUUUUUUCUUUUAUUAGUAUUUUUGAAUAGGGAAGAGAACAGUAAUUGUUAUAAAACCAUAACAGUGAUCUGGGUUGCAGCUUAGUGUUAGAGCACAAACUUAGCAUGCACAAAGCCUUGGGCCUAAUCCCCUCCCCACUGAAAGAAAAGAUUCUGUUGACAUUUUCCUUUGAAAUUUUGUUAGCCUUUGAUCCAGGCAACUUCUGCAGCUCCAGUCACUGUUCUGCAUCGCUACACAAAGGGAAGGUGGAAUAAAUACCCUUCUUUAGAAUAACUUCCAAUCACUUUAUGUCUUACACUCAGCUGGUGACCAUAUUUCUAAAGUUCACUCAUGGGACCAAAAAAUAGGAAGAAAGAGAGUGGUGACCAGAUAAUCAUUGGCUUUUUGUUUUUUUUUAUUUUUUGGUACUGGGGAUCGAACUUGGGUCCUUGCUUUUGCACAGCAGGAAGUGAAACUACUGAGCUAAAUCCCCGUUCUGAUAAUUUAUUUUUAAAGUAAUAAUUCCUUGUACUAUGGAUCUGUCUAGAUUCAACACAGAUUUUUUUUUUCCCCCCUUAAGUUCCAGGAGCUUGUUGCAGCAUUUUUUUUUUUGGUACCAGGGAUUGAAUUUGGGUCCUUGCGCUUGCGCAGCAGGUGGUGAAACCACUGAGCUAAAUCCCCGGUCCUUUGCAGUGUCUUUUUAAAGAAAAUGAGAAGAAUGCCCACAAAUGUUAGGACAGAAUUAUGGAGGGAAAAUACUUUCUCAAAUUAAAAAUGGACUGGAGGAUACAGCUCAGCAGUAAAUCACUUGCUUAACAUGCAUAAGGCCCUCAGUUUGAUCCCCAGCACUAUGGCAGAAAAAAUGAAAACUGAAAGGUUGCGGGGAAUGGAGUAAAGAUCAGCGCUGGGAGGCAGAGGAUGUGGUAUAAAUAAGCAUUGAUUUGUAGUUUUGUUUCUAUGUAGAUUACUUACAACUAACGUAAAAUGAAUGUUUGAUUUCUUGAGCAUGCAGAUGGUGAAGGAUGGAAAGCCAACCUGGAGGCACAAAUUUCAGCAGAUGCUCUGCUUCCAGCUUCUAAGAUAGAUAACAGUUAUUGCAAAGUACAUGUUUUUAAAUGAUCUCCAGUGUGGAUUGCUUCUGAGCCACUGAUGGAAUGAGUACUCCCGGAAGGAAUGUAUCAUUUGGAAUCCAGAAUCAUUCAUCAAGGAUAACUGCCUGAUCCUAUGGUCAGAAUGCUCAAACUCUUAUGGCAUACUGAUGGCUUUCUCUUUCAUUCCCCUAAAAGCAAGUGUUGUCAGUCUCAGAGUUCCUCCCACGUAGCUGUUCUCUCAUUCCUGUUCCCAAAUUAGUGAUCUAGUUCUAUCAUUGUUGAGUGUCAGAGUUGAAGUGUUUAGUAUAGCCAACUUUAUGAUUAUAGGAAAUAAUAAAAAGUGUUAGUAUAAUCAACUUUAUGAUUUAUAGGAAGAAAUUAAAAUGAUAUUGUUUGCUAACUACCUGAAGUAUAAAAACUUCUGUUUUCUUUUUCCAGUCAGGAUGAAUAACUUUUUGAUUUUAGUUUUUGUUUUCAACUUAGAAUUUUGCAAAAAUAUAAAGACAUUUCCUGGUUAAUUUUGGAUUCUCUUUUACUCUUAAAUAUUUUGUCUUCUCUUUUACAUUGUUCUUCUUAAUGCUUAUUUCCUGUAACUAAGAAAGCAGUUGACAUAAUAAGCUUUACCUUUUAAAUUUAAAGGUUGUACUUAUGAAAUUAGAUGAAGUUCACUUUGCUAGUUUAAGUAGUACGUAGAUACUGAUUUUAAAUUUGAUCAGCCAAUUCGAAAGUCAUUUAGAAAAAUUUGCUAAUAUUUUUGGUUUUCUUUGUUAGAAUUGUUUUUUCUUUGCACAUUUGUGCUGUAAAAUCAGGAACAGAUUUGUAUCAGAUAGAUGAACUUAUGUUUGGUCUUCAUGAUAAUUACAUCUUUGUUUUACUCAACAUUUAUUAUUAAGAGAACACAAAAGCCUGGAGUGGUGGUAUGUACUUGUAGUCCCAGCACUUGGAAGGCUGAGGCAGGAAGAUGUCUUGUGCCAAGGGCUUUGAGACCACCCCGGGCAGCAUAGCAAGGCUCCAUCUGAAAAACAAAAAGGAAAAUAAGAAACUUCAUCCUGUAUCAAACUAGCAUCUUUAGCUUGACUAAGAGCUGAUUUUCAUUAAGGAAUAGAACUUGUAAUUCAUUUCCACAUUCUUUAAGAUAUGACUCACUCACUUUAAAGUUGUGAGACCUAAACCUAUACCCUGGUCACUUAAUUUUAUGUCCUUCCCUGUUUACUGUGUCUGAUCUUCAAGAUUUCGUGACUGACGCUGAAAUGGAAGCCAACUGAUGCUGAAAUUUGGGGGAAAAUUACAUCUGAAGAAUGCAAGAGAAAGUAGGAAUUCAUUUCUAGCAUUCCCAAACCUGCCUUGUAUUGUCUACUGUACUAUAGUCAGAGGACAACAACUGAGUUCAUGGAAUUUGCCAGCUAAGCCUUACAACUGUCUUAAAUGUUCUUAGGAAAUACACUGAAAAGGUAAGUGAAUUGUCCAUUUAGAAGAAAGACUAAUAGGUAUUUUUAAGUCAGUUGUUAUAUUUUAAUAAAGACAGGGAGCUCCUUUAUUCCAAACUUCAAAGUCGUGCCCCUACUGGGUGACUUCAGUACUGUGGCAAACGUGGAGUUGUUCAACCAGCCUGGAGCUUUUCCUCUACUCAGCUACUAAGCCAGAACAUGCGUUGAAGUGCAUAGCAUGCUAAUUUCUGUUGUCUUGUUGUGCUCAAAUCCUUUUUUUUAAAAAAUUACUUUGUUUCAGAUGAGAUUUAGUUUUAUCACUCAGUAUAUAGAAAAGAGUGUUUAAUGUUUCAAAGAUUCAGCAUUACAUUUGCAUUAGAUAGAAUCAAGAAUAAAUUAAGGGUUUUAAAUGAUUUCUGUUAAUACCUACUUAUAUUAGUUUUGUGGAUUAUUAAAAAAUAUUAUUACAUUUAUUAUGUUCCUGUGUGAUAGGUAUUGUGCCAGGCCCUGGAAUACAGAGGGACUAGCAUGCACAGUUUAUGUCCUUUGUUCAUACAAUACAGAUAGCAUUCUGGUUUAGAGAAUCAAGAUAUGAUAUAAAAAGGCUAAUUCCAUUUUCUCAUCAAUAAUUUACUCUGAUAACUACUAUGUUAACUUAGCAUAAUAAAUUCUUUAUGAAAGUGUCUUCGUUUGUGUGUUUAACAUUUAUUAAAUACUUUGUGCCAGGUAUUGUGUUAAACUCUUUACAUAUAUUUCUUUACUCAUAUCUCUUCUUUGAGGUAGGUACUAUUACUAAAACUCAUUUUCUAAGAAAAGUAGAGAAGCUAACUAACUUAACUUGUGCUGAGUUUGCCUACCUAUGAUCUGGGACCAAUAUUUGGACCCAGGUAAGCUAAUUCCAGAAUCUACACUCUUUCUUUGGGUAUGAUGUUGAUAUGCAGUACCUGGCUAUGAGUAUCCAUAAACCAUUCCAAACUCUUAAUAGAAAUUUUCCCUAAAUUCUUCUCUAGCUCCAAGACAGUUUGCAUGCUGACCUUUCCUCUUACCCCAGGCCCCAAGUGUAAAGGACUGGAACAGAAGAGCAGAGCUUGGCAGUUACAUUUUAUAUUUAGGAUCUUGUCUCUCAGAUCCACCCCUUUUAUUUUUGGAAUGUGAGCAUUUUCUUUAGCUGCUAAAUCAUGAGAAAAUACAGCUGCUGAGAUUUUUCCUAGGAUUAAAAAAAAGAUUAGGCAUUGUUGAAGUGAAGAAAAAUUGCUCUGAGAACCACAGGUAGGUAAUUUGCCCCCUGUUGUAUGGAAAGCCCCUGCACCUCUGUCCAUUGUUUUAUACUUCUGUAAAUCUGAUUUUAACUUUAAUAAAGUGGUUUCUGAAGUGA